GACGAACGCUGGCGGCGUGCCUAAUACAUGCCAGUCGAGCGAGCGAAACUAACAGAUUUACUUCGGUAAUAACGUUAGGAAAGCGAGCGGCGGAUGGGUGAGUAACACGUGGGGAACCUGCCCCAUAGUCUGGGAUACCACUUGGAAACAGGUGCUAAUACCGGAUAAGAAAGCAGAUCGCAUGAUCAGCUUUUAAAAGGCGGCGUAAGCUGUCGCUAUGGGAUGGCCCCGCGGUGCAUUAGCUAGUUGGUAAGGUAAAGGCUUACCAAGGCGAUGAUGCAUAGCCGAGUUGAGAGACUGAUCGGCCACAUUGGGACUGAGACACGGCCCAAACUCCUACGGGAGGCAGCAGUAGGGAAUCUUCCACAAUGGACGCAAGUCUGAUGGAGCAACGCCGCGUGAGUGAAGAAGGUUUUCGGAUCGUAAAGCUCUGUUGUUGGUGAAGAAGGAUAGAGGUAGUAACUGGCCUUUAUUUGACGGUAAUCAACCAGAAAGUCACGGCUAACUACGUG
rnacentral:rRNA from 1 species